rnacentral:rRNA from 1 species
AACGAACGCUGGCGGCAUGCCUAACACAUGCAAGUCGAACGAGACCUUCGGGUCUAGUGGCGCACGGGUGCGUAACGCGUGGGAACCUGCCCUUAGGUUCGGAAUAACUCCCCGAAAGGGGUGCUAAUACCGGAUAAUGUCUUCGGACCAAAGAUUUAUCGCCUUUGGAUGGGCCCGCGUUGGAUUAGCUAGUUGGUAGGGUAAAAGCCUACCAAGGCGACGAUCCAUAGCUGGUCUGAGAGGUUGAUCAGCCACACUGGGACUGAGACACGGCCCAGACUCCUACGGGAGGCAGCAGUGGGGAGUAUUGAACAAUGGGCGAAAGCCUGAUCAAGCAAUGCCGCGUGAGUGAUGAAGGCCUUAGGGUUGUAAAGCUCUUUUACCCGGGAUGAUAAUGACAGUACCGGGAGAAUAAGCUCCGGCUAACUCCGUG